rnacentral:sRNA from 1 species
AUUAUUUAUUCUCCCCAUUUCGAAGUCUACUCAGUAAUACCUCGUCCUGUAGUUUAUAAGUACCAGCCCAAUUUCUCGCACGUAAAUCCUGCAAGCCAACGUCGGCUUGCAGGCAUCACUUUUAUUAUAGGAUACAGAAAAUGUCUAACAGAAUUGCAGGAACAGUUAAGUGGUUUAACGAAAACAAAGGCUUCGGAUUCAUUGAACGUGAGAACGGACCUGAUGUAUUUGCACACUUCAGCGCUAUCGAAAGCUCUGGUUACAAGACUCUAGCCGAAGGUCAACGUGUAGAAUUCGUAGUUACCGAUGGGCAGAAGGGUCCUCAGGCUGAAAACAUUAUUGCUGUUUAAUACCAACGGCGAUUAGAAGCAUA